rnacentral:rRNA from 1 species
GAUGAACGCUGGCGGCGUGCUUAACACAUGCAAGUCGAACGAAGCACUUUAUUUGAUUUCCUUCGGGACUGAUUAUUUUGUGACUGAGUGGCGGACGGGUGAGUAACGCGUGGGUAACCUGCCUUGUACAGGGGGAUAACAGUUGGAAACGGCUGUUAAUACCGCAUAAGCGCACAGCAUCGCAUGAUGCAGUGUGAAAAACUCCGGUGGUAUAAGAUGGACCCGCGUUGGAUUAGCUAGUUGGUGAGGUAACGGCCCACCAAGGCGACGAUCCAUAGCCGACCUGAGAGGGUGACCGGCCACAUUGGGACUGAGACACGGCCCAAACUCCUACGGGAGGCAGCAGUGGGGAAUAUUGCACAAUGGGCGAAAGCCUGAUGCAGCGACGCCGCGUGAGCGAAGAAGUAUUUCGGUAUGUAAAGCUCUAUCAGCAGGGAAGAUAAUGACGGUACCUGACUAAGAAGCACCGGCUAAAUACGU